CCUACGGGAGGCAGCAGUGGGGAAUAUUGCACAAUGGGGGAAACCCUGAUGCAGCGACGCCGUGUGAGUGAAGAAGUAUUUCGGUACGUAAAGCUCUAUCAGCAGGGAAGAAAAUGACGGUAACUGACUAAGAAGCCCCGGCUAACUACGUGCCAGCAGCCGCGGUAAUACGUAGGGGGCAAGCGUUAUCCGGAUUUACUGGGUGUAAAGGGAGCGUAGACGGCAGCGCAAGUCUGGAGUGAAAUCCCAUGGCUUAACCAUGGAACUGCUUUGUAAACUGUGCAGCUAGAGUGCAGGAGAGGUAAGCGGAAUUCCUAGUGUAGCGGUGAAAUGCGUAGAUAUUAGGAGGAACACCAGUGGCGAAGGCGGCUUACUGGACUGUAACUGACGUUGAGGCUCGAAAGCGUGGGGAGCAAACAGGAUUAGAUACCCCAGUAGUC
rnacentral:rRNA from 1 species